rnacentral:tmRNA from 1 species
UUUGAUCCUUUUUCUCUUUCUUACAGAAAAGAAAAAUUUAAUUUAAGUAAGAAUAGGAAAGAUUGAGGUUCUAAAUCUUUCUAAGAAGUUACAAGAACUAGAUUCUAAGUAAUAGGUUCUUAUCUCUAAACUUAGAAUUAAUUUUAAUUUGAUAAGAUAAAUAUGUAGAAAACUUAUAAUAUUACUUGUUUGGACACGGGUUCGAAUCCCGUCAGCUCCACCA